GAUGAACGCUGGCGGCGUGCCUAAUACAUGCAAGUCGAGCGAACAGACGAGGAGCUUGCUCCUCUGACGUUAGCGGCGGACGGGUGAGUAACACGUGGAUAACCUACCUAUAAGACUGGGAUAACUUCGGGAAACCGGAGCUAAUACCGGAUAAUAUAUUGAACCGCAUGGUUCAAUAGUGAAAGACGGUUUUGCUGUCACUUAUAGAUGGAUCCGCGCCGCAUUAGCUAGUUGGUAAGGUAACGGCUUACCAAGGCAACGAUGCGUAGCCGACCUGAGAGGGGGGUCCGCCACCCUGGAACGGAGCCACGGUCCCGACCCCUGCGGGAGGCCACCGUAGGGAAUCCUCCGCCAUGGGGCAAAGCCUGACGGAGCAACCCCGGGUGAGUUAUGAAGGUCCUCCGAUCGUUAAACUCUGUUAUUAGGGAAGAACCAAUGUGUAAGUAACUAUGCACGUCUUGACGGUACCUAAUCAGAAAGCCACGGCUAACUACGUG
rnacentral:rRNA from 1 species